rnacentral:tRNA from 1 species
UGGUAAUUAGUUUAAAAAAAAAUAAAUGAUUUCGACUCAUUAGACUGUGGAUAAAUCCACAAUUAUCAA